rnacentral:rRNA from 1 species
GUGGGGAAUUUUGGACAAUGGGCGCAAGCCUGAUCCAGCCAUGCCGCGUGCAGGAUGAAGGCCUUCGGGUUGUAAACUGCUUUUGUACGGAACGAAAAGACUCUGGUUAAUACCUGGGGUCCAUGACGGUACCGUAAGAAUAAGCACCGGCUAACUACGUGCCAGCAGCCGCGGUAAUACGUAGGGUGCGAGCGUUAAUCGGAAUUACUGGGCGUAAAGCGUGCGCAGGCGGUGAUGUAAGACAGUUGUGAAAUCCCCGGGCUCAACCUGGGAACUGCAUCUGUGAGUGCAUUGCUGGAGUGCGGCAGAGGGGGAUGGAAUUCCGCGUGUAGCAGUGAAAUGCGUAGAUAUGCGGAGGAACACCGAUGGCGAAGGCAAUCCCCUGGGCCUGCACUGACGCUCAUGCACGAAAGCGUGGGGAGCAAACAGGAUUAGAUACCCGAGUAGUCC